AACCUCCCUCCCUCUUCUCCGUUGCUCACCCCUCCCUCUCCUCUUUCUCUGUGUCCCCAGACGUUGUUGGACAACACCUCCUAGUAUUCUUUCACUAUGAGUCACAUUUUAGAGAGAAGUGGGGAUCACAAAACACUGGUUGGGGAAUGCUACACUAGAUGGGAGGCCACAGAGAAUCUACCUCAAAGAAACUUCUACUGGUGGCGUAAGGAGGGAACAGCAUUCUUCUAUGAGAUCACUGGGUUGGUGACAAUAUUAAAAGGCUAAUGUACCGCAAGUCUGAGGAACUAGUUGCAGACAGAGGGUAUAGCGCAACUACACACCCCUUUCCAUAAAUCCAGUUGAGCAAGGACUUUAUUUGCUUCUAUAAAGAUAUUACUGGCUCAGCUGGCUCCUGAGACAUUGAACCCCAUUCAUAUAAAGAUCAACAGGUAGAAUCCUACAUAGAAGUACACAUGACUGAAAAAGGGAGAUAUUUAUGUACAAAUAUAAUGAUCCUGGUGGUUGAAUGCACAGGGCAACGGGGAAAUGAGAAUUAAUGCACUUUUCUGCUGUGUUUUAAAGCUAAGAUUUAUUAUUUCGGUGGCAGGAAAUUUAAAUAAAUAUGUCAUAUUGUGUUUUCUCCGCACAAUCGGCUGCAGUAAUUAGCACAAAUAGCUCGUGUUCAGCAAUAAGUGAGGAAAUGCUUAAAUUGUCCGAUCAAUAGAACAUUCUCACAGCCGCGUACUUGGGGAAAUACCAGCAAAAACUAAUUAUCUUCAUAUGCAGUAACAAAACAGAAAACCUCACAAUCCUCCCUCAUUAGUGACACUGAUUGGAACAGAGAGCAGGCUCAGCCCAAGGCAAGGGGGUAAUGCAUAAAACUAACGAGGAGGAAAUCACCCAGAGCAUUAGGGCUAGUCCACACGGGGAGAUAGCCACGCGUUUGCGGUCGCGGCAACA